rnacentral:tRNA from 1 species
ACUAUUUUGGCAGAAAAUAUGCUCUAGAUUUAGGAUCUAGUUAAAUAGAGUAAAAGUCUAUAAGUAGUU